CAGAUGUGUUCAAACCAUAGACUGUCUAUAAAAAUUGGACGUAGUGUCCGGGUCCGGAGAGUGAAAGCCAAUGCGGAAGUGCCCAAAGCCUGUACUCUCUGGAAUCACCACCAGAGGGCGACUCCACUGGCUGCAGAAAGAAAUUUCUGAAUUGGUCAGGUGUUGAUGACCGUUCCACACAAUGGAGCCAAUCGGAGAGUUGUAGCUACGUUGCCCCAGUUGUGUGAGGUGCGCAGUCCAGUGCGGCUGCCAGAAGAUGCACAACAUCGCCCGGAUGUCCAACCUUUGACACGAGUUGCACCCACGUGAAGAAAUGAAUCAUGGAGAGGAUCUGCCAAACAGCCAAGGAAAUACGGCCGACGUGGAUGAUGAGACGGAGUCUGAAAAAUGCUAACCGUCAGAAAUGAGCCUGAUCACUGACGAGCGAAAAGGAGAGUGUGACUGAUGUAGAGGCGCCCUCCACGUAUUACCGUAUUUCAUGUUUCACUUCUACGAGAGAGCGGCGUCGUGAUAAGGACUAUUUUUACCCCUCAGAUUAAUGAUGUCUCGGAGAAACUUUCGCAACAGGACGAGUGCGAGACAUUGCAGUGCUUAUUAUCUGCGUAUCACCUACUUAUUAUUUCCUCUUGAGGCAAAAUAGAGGUCUGUUCGUCUCGUUUUGUGGCACGGUAAUUGUUUAAUUGCAUUAUGUACCACACUUAUAUGGAAGUAUGCAAUCAAAUUCAAGCGAUGCAUUCGCUGUCCAUUCUUGCCAAUUCCUGUUUUUGUAGGUGUA